rnacentral:rRNA from 1 species
UACGUAGGGUGCAAGCGUUAAUCGGAAUUAUUGGGCGUAAAGGGUGCGCAGGCGGAUGUAUAAGUCCCAUGUGAAAUCCCACGGCUCAACCGUGGAAGUGCAUGGGAAACUGCAGAGCUUGAGUACUUAAGAGGAUCGCGGAAUUCCCGGUGUAGAGGUGAAAUUCGUAGAUAUCGGGAGGAACACCGGUGGCGAAGGCGGCUAUCUGGACCGACAUUGACGCUGAGGCGCGAAAGCGUGGGGAGCAAACGGG